rnacentral:lncRNA from 1 species
GGGUUAAAUCAAAAUAGAUAUCACAAUAGACAUGAUAGUCCACUGUACGUUGCUGGAAAACCUCUACAAUCUCCCCAACUUAUCAAAAUCCAACGAUGUGGUUCUUGUAAAUAGAAAUAGCAAUUUCUUGGUCUAAUGACCAAUGAAGAUCUAAAGACCAAGAAUAUAGCUUUAUUUAGUAUUUAACUCUAUUUUUCAUGUUGAUGGAUACAUCGGUAGAUUGGGUAGCUGGAAGUUGUAAAUUUAUUUCCUACCGUAUUGUAGCUCUGAGAAUCAAUCUCUGGAAAACUUGCCCAUGGUCAUGCAGAUACAUCCUGCCAUAUAACGAUCAUCAUAGUCAAUGUCCAGACCCAUUAAAUGUUUUAACAGCCAGAAGAGAAAAAACAUAACGUAUGAUAUACUUCCUUCAAUUCACCAUUGGAAGCUUCGAUUUAAAAAAUAUAGCAAGUGGUUUAGUAACCAGAUUUUUGAAUCCCUUUCUUGGUCCUUUGAGGGACUGACCCAUAAACAUGUCACUGUCAUUAAAGAAACAAAGUCUCUUGAGGCGAGUAAAACUUGCCUGGGUAUCAAAUUCUACUUACAGCAGCAUGUGCUUGUAGGAGCGAGACGUUUGGCCGCAUAUUCGUAUCUUCCAACUAUUGCUUUUCUAUAAAAACCAGUCUAUUGCAUGAAAUCGAGAAGACGUCAACAGGCUUGAGCAAUAGUUACUUUUAAACUCUAAGAGGGCUGGACAGAAUCGAUAGUUCCAAAAUAACAAUUUUGGGGACUAUAGGUUCCCUUUAAUACAUUAUGGCUUUUAGGAAGGACUCGCCCAUAACAUGUCACUAUCAUUAAUACACUGUGGCCCUAGGAAGGACUGACCCAUAAACAUGUCACUGUCAUUAAUACAUUGUGUCUGUAGGAAGGACUGACCCAUAAACAGGUUGACGUCAAUUAACACACUGGGGCCCUAGCAAGGACUAAUUCAUAAAAAUGUCACUAUCAUUAGAACACAGUGGCCCUAGGAAGGACUGACCCAUAAACAUAUCACUGUCAUUAAUAUAUUAUGUCUGUAGGAAGGACUGACCCAUAAACAGGUUGCCGUCAUUAAUACACUGUGGCCCUUGCAAGGAUUAACCCAUAAACUUGUCACUAUCAUUGGUACACGGUGGCCCUAGUAGGGACUGACUGUUCUCUUAAAUAAUUAUACGUUAUUCUCUUUACUUGUAUGCAAUCCAUUGUUUCCCUUCUUCCGAUAGUUUUGGGUCCCUCUAAUUGUAAAGACGUUUAAUCCCAGUGAUGCUGUGAAAGGACUAAAUACUGAUAAGUCAGAGCUAUGUUUAUAUAACGGUGUCCGCCGUCCCACUGGGACCAAUUUUCAAAAGCCUGUUUGCCUGAGGGCUGGUAUGAGAAGUAACUAUCCACAGAAAUGUUACAGUCACAGUUUAAAAUCUUGCAGCAAGAGAGAAGCAGCUAAUGUUUGUGACAUUUUCCCCAAAUACAUCAGGCUCCCAGUUACACAAUUUCUAAUACAUCAGCAGACGCCAAAGGUGAGACUCCAAAAUUCAACAUUGGGUGGCAGGGCUCAAAUUACCCUCUUUAUACACGUAAUUAGCCCCACUGUUUUGGUAGUAGUUUUUUUGUUUAUUAAAGAUAUAGAGACAUUCUACAUACAUUUAAAGUGAGCAUACUUACUUUUUCACUAAAUAAUGUUAAGACUAGCACAUUCCUGAGAAUGCAUGAGACCACUGCAUCAUGCUGACGUAUCUCUAGUGCAGCGUUUCCCAAUUGGUGUUCCGCGAACCCUGGGGUUCUGCAAAAACACAAAUGGGGUUCCGCCACAAUAUCGGGAAACAAAAUUUGCAAGAACACAAAUGGGG